UGGUGCUUGCACUAGACGUCAUGAGUUGCGAACGGGUGAGUAACGCGUAGGUAACCUGCCUCAUAGCGGGGGAUAACUAUUGGAAACGAUAGCUAAUACCGCAUAACAGUAUUUACCGCAUGGUAGAUAUUUGAAAGGAGCAAUUGCUUCACUAUGAGAUGGACCUGCGUUGUAUUAGCUAGUUGGUGAGGUAACGGCUCACCAAGGCUUCGAUACAUAGCCGACCUGAGAGGGUGAUCGGCCACACUGGGACUGAGACACGGCCCAGACUCCUACGGGAGGCAGCAGUAGGGAAUCUUCGGCAAUGGGGGCAACCCUGACCGAGCAACCCGCGUGAGUNGAAGAAGGUUUUCGGAUCGUAAAGCUCUGUUGUAAGGGAAGAACUGUGAGAAGAGUGGAAAGUUUCUCACUUGACGGUAUCUUACCAGAAAGGGACGGCUAACUACGUGCCAGCAGCCGCGGUAAUACGUAGGUCCCGAGCGUUGUCCGGAUUUUUUUGGGCGUAAAGCGAGCGCAGGCGGUUUUGAUAAGUCUGAAGUAAAAGGCUGUGGCUUAACCAUAGUACGCUUUGGAAACUGUCAAACUUGAGUGCAGAAGGGGAGAG
rnacentral:rRNA from 1 species